AAAUCUCCAGUAUCAGUAUGGUUUAUAGUAUUUGAUGAACUAUGCGAAAGGUUCAACUAUUUUGGACUUCGAAGUAAGAAAACUUAGUUAUAAAUUAAUGGAUAUAUAUUAUAUAUACCUACCAGAUACUUAUUAGCUUUAAUCUAUAUACCUAGUUAAAUUAAGUAUGUACAAUGUAUAGAAAGUCAAACAAACUUGUAUAAUUAAGUAAUUCUAGUUUUCACCAUUUUGACGAAUAGGUAAUUUAAAAAUUGUUUAAUAUAAUGUUAUAUCAGUGCCGUAGCCAGGGAGGAAAGUGUACUGGAGGCACAUACCUCCUUCGAAAUGUUUUAUUUUUCGUUAUGCUGCCAUGCAGUUUACAUAAAUUUGAUAUACUAGUACAAUUUAUUAGUAGUAGUACUGUUAUUAUUAUUAUUAUUAUUAUACGUAUAAUGUUUUCUAUUAUAUAUGUAAUAACAUAUAAUAAUAUAUUAUAUUUUCUAACAAG